rnacentral:rRNA from 1 species
UGUCCUCUAAAUAGGGACCAGUAUGAACGGCAACAUGAGAAAGAAACUGUCUCUUUAGGCUAGCCAAUGAACCUGACCUGCCUGUACAAAUGCAGGCAUAAAAAAACAAGACAAAAAGACCCUGUGAAGCUUUAAAUGUAGAUCAACAAGCUGAUCAACACAUUUUUGGUUGGGGCAACCAAAGAAAAAUAUAAACCUCACAACCAGUCACAAGGCCAACAAGCCAACUGACAAGACAACAUAGACCCAGUAUUACUGAUCAAAGAACCAAGUUACUCCAGGGAUAACAGCGCUACAUUCUUGAAGAGUCCAUAACAACAAAAAUACCUAAGACCUCAAUGUGGGAUUA